UCUUAACUUUUCACGUUUGCGUGGCGCAGGUUCAGCGUGUACAAAGGGAAGCGCGUAGGGAUGACCUUCUCCCGCAUUGGCGGGUGGAAAUGGUAACUCAUGUCGUGUACGGGCGCACUAGUAAUUUAAAGUGACCCUCACGGAAUCCGGAGAGGGCUGCUUUAUAGUACUUUUAGAAAACAAGAAUGUAAACUACAUCGGCUCCCAAAAAACGCUGUCCGAUGAGCGUGUGGUUCACCGGAGUAUCGAAGGAGGGCAAAGGCUUAUGACUGGGAGUCUGGCUGCUUUCUCAAACUCAGACCAGAGCCAGUGACAGCGCCACAGCCAACUUUCAGUAAUCUGGAAAAUCCCUCGUUUGCAAAAAUAGGGCCAGAAUUUUACAGAGGGAAGUUGAUUAGGCCCGGGACUCUGUAUUCAUACGUAGUCAUCUCAGGUAGAAUCAGAGAGAACAAUCUCAUUUAGAUUUUUUCCCUCAGUGAUACUAACUAGCAAUUCCCAGAAUUUCCUCACAUUUAAAGUAAAAACAAUGAUAAUGAUUUAAAUUACUGGAGUCUAGAGUUGGAGGGAAAGGGAAUAAAUCUUGAUUUACUCUAACCAUCUGUUUUAUCCCACACUUGACCCCCUGAGAGUUAUCCCCAGAUGAGAAGUCCCAUUACCUUUUUAUUACAUAGCUCAGUUUUAAGGUUUAAUUUGUUUAAUUAUGAGAACUGUAUUGAAAUGUGCACCUGUAGAGCAGAGGGAAUUUAAAUACAUUUCAGUAUUUGUCAAUGAUUGUCAUUAAAGCAAAACAUAUUUAAAAACCUCAUUAAAACAAAAAAAGCAUUAUCAACCUUACUUAGUAAAACCUUACAUCAGUAGUUCUGAACCCUAGCUGUACAUUGGAAUCCUCUGAGGAGCUUUUAAAACAUCCUGAUGCCUGGGUCUUACCUGCAGAAACUGAUAUAAUUGAUUUGGGGUGACCCAGAUUGGUUGGAUUUUGCCCAUCUUCCAGUGAUUGCAAUGUUCAGCCCCAGCUGAGAAAUAUUAUUCACCCAAGAACGUGUAAACCUGGUGCUGGUUAAAGCACUUAACCUCUCUGUGUGUCACCUCUCUACUUUUCUGACUAGGCUGCUUCCAGGGCAACCUCCCUUGCCAAUGAUCAGGAGGGUCUUAAAAUACUAUAACAACCUAUAAUCUUUAAAAACUGAUUGAUAAUAUGCUAUUUCCCUGGUUCUUUUAAUCUAUGGUUAUGUAGGGUAGGGAAAGCUGGGUGAAUGGUGCACAGGAACUCUACUAUUUUUGCAACUUCUUGCAAGUCUUCAAUUAUUUAAUAAAAUUAAUUUGUUAUAUGCUUCAGUGAAAUCACCUAUGUUUAUAAUGACCUGAGAGUAAUACAGUUUAACUUAUUUUUAGGACUAUUAAUGCAAAUUGUUUUUCUCUUUAUAGGGUCUUCCAUCAUGCCUCUCCAAAAAGUUGACUUGGUGAUGUCUUGAUAUACAUCAUAAUAUAUAUUUAUUCUCCAAGUCCGUGAUUAAUCCAAAAAAGUUCACAAGCAUACAAAGAAGUUCUGGGAGGAGCAGGGGUUACUUGCUCUACUCUUCAUAUCUUUUCUCAGUGGACCUCCCUGCUCCCUACCUCCUGUGACCUGGUAAUCAUUUCCAGAAGAUCAGAACCACCACUCUUCCAUAGAUUUGUGCCUAUUUACCACUCCUGUCUGACUGAACCUCAGAUUAUAUCCAAGAAGUAAUAACUAUUUUCACUGUUCCUCCCUUCAGAUUCAACAAAUGUGGUUGAGGAGGCGAAAGCCACGCGAUCCUUUGCCCUUUGUUCCCCUUCUCAAUAAGGAACCUCAUAACAUUUUGCCUGCUUUGGGAUAAGCGAACUUAAACAAGGCAUUAUUAUGGCAUUUACACUUUUUAGGAGAGAAAUCAGGUGAUAACUCGCUCCCCCAGUUGUUCAAGCGCGAUCUCAGAUCUAGAGGACAGGAGUGUUUCCCGAGGGUUGUACCGCAGGAGGACGGCCCGAAGGGGGCCGGUCAGUUGGCAAGUCCGUUUCCUCUUUCAACGAACUCGCACCGUCAGACCCGUGACCUGAGUGUAUCCAACCGCCCAUCCGGGUCCGGCUGUCCUCACCGAGCCCGACGGUACUCAGCCCUGGAACAGUCGCUAUUAGCUCUGCCACUGAACACGGGAAAGACCUGGCUGGGCUGCCCUGGGAUCGGGAGGGCGAAAAGAUUUCACAACGGUCGAGAGGGCGGAGCGCGCCCACUUCGUCAUUUCUAGGAAGCCUCGAGCCUGCCAGGCCGCAGAGGCCAACAGGAAGUGCCGCUCACCGGACCAAGGGACCAAUCAUAGGAUCCUUAGAAGGGACCUUGAAAUUUCAUGUGACAUGAGUCAGUGAUUGCAGGUUAAGGGCUCAUUCUCACAAGACAGCCCCCACUUCAGAAGCCAAUUGAAAGUCCAGAUCGUUUUCCUGUGCUUCUGCCCAACUGGCUCUAAACUGGAGGUUCCUGCAGCCUCCUCCUUGGGUUUGAUUAAUUUGCAAGAGUGGCUCAGAGAACUCAGGAAACCAACUUACUCACUGGAUUACCAGCCUACUACAAAGGACAUUUAAGGAUACAAAUCAAUAGCUACAUGAAGUGAGACAUAGGGCACAGCCCCAAACAAAGGAGCUUUGUUCCUGUGGAGUUUGGGGCCUGGUGUGGUGGCAUGUGGAAAUGUUCUGGUUCACCAACCUGGAAGCUCUUAGAACCCCCUUCCUUUUUUUUAAUUUUAUGGAGACUGCAUUACACUAAACCUAAAUUACAUUAAAUUUAAAUUACAGUAAAAGGCCUUGGUUGAUAGAUUCAACCUCUAGCCUCUAUCACCUCCCCAGAAGUCACAGGGUGGGACUGAAAGUUCCUCUGAUCACAGGGUUGGGUCCCUUGGCAACCAGCUUGCAUCCAUAAGUGUGUCCAAAAGUCACCUCAUUGACAAAACAGAAGACACCUGUACUGCUCAUUGUUAAGGAAAUUCCAAGGCAUUUAGGAACUCUGUGCCAGGAAUGAAGAAAGACCAAAUACGUAUUUCUUUUUUUUUUUUAUUUCUUACUAUAAAUCACAACAGCAUAGCAGGGAUUAGGGAGAAGAUUAAUUUACAUUUAUGCCCCAUUAAGCAGAGAUAAAUUGGUCCCCAAAAUAUAUAAUAAGAAUGCUAUUUUUACAUAUGUAAUUUUUAUUUUCCUAAUUCCUGUUCUUCCUCCACCCUAACCACUAAGGCUUAUUUCCCAGGGAGGGAAAGGACAGUAUCAAAGAAGUUCUGAAGGAAAUUGUGACACUGUUUCCCAUCUAAUGGAAAGAGAAAGUAGGUAACACGUCUAGUUUCUGGGAAGCUCUGUGUGCAGUGGGGGUGGGAAGGAGAGAGAGACAGACACAGACGAGCACACACACUCAACACCCAAGACAGAGAGAGAGAGGAGGGGGCAGGAGGAGGAAGGGAGCAGAGCGGUGAAAUAAGAGGACUCUGAUUUUCUCCUCAUACCUUCAUAGCGAAAGGAGAGAGGGACUUAAGAAUAACCAUAUAGUUUUUUGGGGUAUUCCCAGAGUAGUUUUGUUUUUAGUGUUCCUAGAGAGAGAACAGGAAAAUCUCAAGCCUUCUAACAGAAUCACUAUAUCCAGUAUGGUACAAUCCAGGUAGCAAAGUAGAAACGGCUGAAGGGAGCACCUCAGCAUAGAGAGGGACAAACACAGAGUCCCAGGGUUCCUUGGCUUCUGAGUGAUACGCAAGGAUCCGGAAGUUCUCACGGGUCCUGAUACAGCAGUUGACAGGCGCCUGUUAGGACUGUGACAGCAACAGAAAGGAUGGCCCCAAGCACACCUCUCUCAUGUACUGCUGGAAGAUGAUGUGGAAAGUGACUCGGAGGCCGUAAGGGCCAGCCUGGGCUAAGGUGGAGCCAGUUAACAGAGGAAAAGAGCCCGAGAUCCCCAGCUUUGCCAGAAGAACCGCCCACGAAUGUCACCAGCAGGGUAUGACGAGGUGGUGAGGAGGUCAGCUCGGGCCAAUUAUCCCCCCUCAGAUGCCCUCAGAGAUAUGUAAUCUCUGCCUUACUUUCAAGUCCCCAUUUUGGGAAGGAGGAACAAGAGAGAUUAGAGGGAGUUUGAACUUUGAACUGACUGUGUAUUUAUCUGGAUAGGAUUGUUUAACCAAAGUAACAGAUUGAUUCCUAAGUGCAAGCUUGUACCUCCUCUUCUCACCCCAUUUUACCACCUUACAAAGUGGGAAUGAGGGUAUGUUAGCUAGCUUGGGCUGCCAUAAGAAAAUAAUAAAAUAACAUAGACUGGGUUUAAGCCACUAGCAACUCUGUUCUCCCAAUUCAAGAGGUUGACAGUCCAAGACCAAGGAAGGGGCCGGCAGAUUUGAUUUCUGUUGAGCACCUCCUCCCUGGCUUGUAGACAGCCUCCUCCUCACUUCUCAUGUCCUCACAUGGUGGGGAGAGAGCGAGCUUUGGUGUUUCUUCCUCUUCUUGUAAGGAUGAUAAUCCCAUUAUAGGGGCCCCAUCCUUUCGACCUCAUCUAAACCUAAUGAACCCCCAAAGGCUGCACCUCCAACACCGUUACAGUGGGGGUUCAGGCUUUACCAAAUCAAUUCUGGGGAACACAGUUCAGUCCAUAGCAGGCGGGUUGCAAGGAAGUUGAUGUCAUUCAUAGAAAA